rnacentral:rRNA from 1 species
GAUGAACGCUGGCGGCGUGCCUAAUACAUGCAAGUCGAGCGAACAGACGAGGAGCUUGCUCCUCUGAUGUUAGCGGCGGACGGGUGAGUAACACGUGGAUAACCUACCUAUAAGACUGGGAUAACUUCGGGAAACCGGAGCUAAUACCGGAUAAUAUUUUGAACCGCAUGGUUCAACAGUGAAAGACGGUCUUGCUGUCACUUAUAGAUGGAUCCGCGCCGCAUUAGCUAGUUGGUAAGGUAACGGCUUACCAAGGCAACGAUGCGUAGCCGACCUGAGAGGGUGAUCGGCCACACUGGAACUGAGACACGGUCCAGACUCCUACGGGAGGCAGCAGUAGGGAAUCUUCCGCAAUGGGCGAAAGCCUGACGGAGCAACGCCGCGUGAGUGAAGAAGGUCUUCGGAUCGUAAAACUCUGUUAUUAGGGAAGAACAAAUGUGUAAGUAACUAUGCACGUCUUGACGGUACCUAAUCAGAAAGCCACGGCUAACUACGUG